ensembl:lncRNA
GUCCCACCCAGUUAAAGCGGGUAUUGGUGGAGCGAAAACGUUGACCAAGCCCAGACAGGCUGGAGUAGAAUAUACUUCAGAUCUUAUUUGUGAUUGACAGCCAGACCGAGGACACUUAAUGAUCGCGGAGGCUGGGCAAACCCGGUCCUGCAGCGGCUGGAGUAGUUUUGAGUGGAAUAGGCACACCGAUGAAUACAAAGCAGAGAAAGAGAGAGAUGCGAUAGAAGAAAAGUGAACAUUUCGGUGUCAUCUCCGGGUAAGCAGAAGCUUUUUUAUUGUCCACAUGACUCUCAUGAGAUUCUUGUUUGCUGCCUUUUGCCCACAGGGCAGCGAACACAGCGCGGAUUAGGGCUAUUACUUUUUAUUCUCUGCAUGCAUGUUGCUUUAUUUUAUUUUUUUUAAAUUUUUUUUUUAAAACAAGGUUAUUUCAAGGAUCAACUGAACUUUUUCUAGAAGCGUUCAUUUUGAAAGCGACCCGGUAGGUUGUCUGCACCAGUGAUCCGCAGCUGUUUGUUAUGCAAACAGUAAACGCAGCUAGGGGAAUGAAAGGAGAAGUCAGUGACGUUUGGGUUGGUGUAACCUACUUUUAAAGCGAACGCUAAACAGCUCUGUAGAUGUGCGACAUUGCGUUAAAGCCGCACACCGCAGCGUCAGUGUUUGGAUGUCAUGCAAAGUAGCUUACAAUGUGAAUUCUUGUUUAUAGUUUGGCUGUGAUGACACACACUCACAGAGCACAGGAAACUGUCCGAGGCUUCUACGGUUAUGAAACAUGUGGAACAAAAUAGUUAAUGUGUAACAGGGAAAGCAGACGUGGACCUUUGCAGAAUGAAACUUGGUUCAUAGAGUGUGGGGAAUUUCCUUCCUGGCCAGGAGCUGAUACAUCUGAGACAUUAAUGUACAUAAAUAAUGCUGGACUUAAACAGAACAAAUGCAGGCUGGAUUAAACAAGUAAUUCUAUUAGAUGGAUUACAGAUGAAAGCUGUGCAGGAAGGCGGUAAGUACACCUUUAUUGAGGUCACUGAAGUGAGUGCUCUGACCCAUGAUCAGUCAUGACCUUGAUGACUUAUCUAUCUGGUAGUAUCCCAC